GCGAACGCGGUGCCGGCGGCAGGUGUGAGACGGUGUGUGCAAGGGUUAUGCGGAAUUAGGGGGCGUAAUGGAGGCGUAGGCGGUGUGGUAAGACAGAUUUGAAAUCCCGGGGCUUAACCGCGGAACUGAAUCUGAUACUGGCAAGCUGGAUUGUCGUAGAGGGGGGUAGAAUUCCAGGUGGAGCGGUGAAAUGCGUAGAGAUCUGGAGGAAUACCGGUGGCGAAGGCGGCCCCCUGGACAAAGACUGGCGCUCAGGUGCGAAAGCGUGGGGAGCAAACAGGAUUAGAUACCCGGGUAGUC
rnacentral:rRNA from 1 species